rnacentral:tRNA from 1 species
CAGAGUGCUUUGCUCGCGGUUGUCAGUGCGCUUGCUUCGGGAGCAGGGGGUCGGAGGUUCGAAUCCUCUCAUUCCGACCA